rnacentral:rRNA from 1 species
GACGAACGCUGGCGGCGUGCUUAACACAUGCAAGUCGAACGGAAAGGCCCUGCUUUUGUGGGGUGCUCGAGUGGCGAACGGGUGAGUAACACGUGAGUAACCUGCCCUUGACUUUGGGAUAACUUCAGGAAACUGGGGCUAAUACCGGAUAGGAGCUCCUGCUGCAUGGUGGGGGUUGGAAAGUUUCGGCGGUUGGGGAUGGACUCGCAGCUUAUCAGCUUGUUGGUGGGGUAGUGGCUUACCAAGGCUUUGACGGGUAGCCGGCCUGGGAGGGUUACCGGCCACAUUGGGACUGAGAUACGGCGCAGACUCCUACGGGACGCAGCAGUGGGGAAUCUUGCAGAAUGGGCGGAAGCCUGAUGCAGCAACGCCGCGUGCGGGAUGACGGCCUUCGGGUUGUAAACCGAUUUGGCAUGUGCUGAAGCGUGAGUGACGGUAAUGGGUAAAGAAGCAACGGCUAACUACGUG